AACGCGAAGAACCUUACCUACCCUUGACUUGUAGCGAACCUCGCAGAGAUGUGAGGGUGCCCGAAAGGGAACGCUAACACAGGUGCUGCAUGGCUGUCGUCAGCUCGUGUCGUGAGAUGUUGGGUUAAGUCCCGCAACGAGCGCAACCCUUGUCAUUAGUUGCCACAUUUAGUUGGGCACUCUAAUGAGACUGCCGGUGACAAACCGGAGGAAGGUGGGGAUGACGUCAAGUCCUCAUGGCCCUUAUGGGUAGGGCCUCACACGUAAUACAAUGGCCGGUACAGAGGGCUGCCAACCCGCGAGGGGGAGCUAAUCUCAGAAAGCCGGUCGUAGUCCGGAUUGUUCUCUGCAACUCGAGAACAUGAAGUUGGAAUCGCUAGUAAUCGCGGAUCAGCAUGUCGCGGUGAAUACGUUCCCGGGCCUUGUA
rnacentral:rRNA from 1 species